rnacentral:siRNA from 1 species
UGGAGAUGCUGGGUUCAAGGU